rnacentral:rRNA from 1 species
UACGUAGGGGGCUAGCGUUGUCCGGAAUCAUUGGGCGUAAUGCGCGUGUAGGCGGUCCGGUAAGUCCGCUGUGAAAGUCGGGGGCUCAACCCUCGAAUGCCGGUGGAUACUGUCGGGCUAGAGUGCGGAAGAGGCGAGUGGAAUUCCUGGUGUAGCGGUGAAAUGCGCAGAUAUCAGGAGGAACACCUAUUGCGAAGGCAGCUCGCUGGGACGUUACUGACGCUGAGACGCGAAAGCGUGGGGAGCAAACAGG